rnacentral:tRNA from 1 species
AGUCAUAGCUCAGUUGGUAGAGCGCCUGCCCUCCAAGCAGGAUGCCGCGGGUUCGAGCCCCGUUGACU